UCUGUGUGUGAGACAGAAGGGGAGCUCGGCUUUCCCGCAUAAAUAAUCUCCUUACGGCGCACUGCCGCCUUAGUAGGUUUCUAGUAUCGCUGUGUGUCUCCUCCCUACACAGAGCGCCGUGUACGCGGAAGGUUACAUUCUCACAUUCUGCUGUUGGCUGAAUUCGUGCGCGAGGCAGUGCAAAGAAAGGAAGAGCGCUCUUGUAGUCGCCAUUUUAGGUUGCUCCGUUGACUGCAGCUGAUAAGCGGCAUUGGCUUCUGCCAUUUCUUUUUUUCUAACCUCCUCUCUGAACUCGUUCCUUUUCAAUGGAUUUGUCAGGGGGUGGUGUGAUAAGGGGGCCGGCGGGUAAUAACGACUGUCGGAUAUAUGUGGGGAACCUGCCGCCAGACAUCCGCACCAAGGACAUAGAGGACGUGUUCUACAAGUACGGCGCCAUCCGAGACAUUGACCUCAAGAACCGGCGCGGAGGGCCGCCUUUUGCUUUCGUGGAGUUCGAGGACCCCAGGGAUGCUGAAGAUGCAGUGUAUGGAAGAGAUGGCUAUGAUUAUGAUGGCUAUCGUCUACGUGUAGAGUUUCCAAGAAGUGGCAGAGGAGCUGGUGGAAGGGGUGGCGGUGGAGGAGGCGGCGGCGGUGGAGGAGGAGGAGGCGGUGGUGGAGGAGGUGGUGGCGGCGGUGGUGGAGGAGGUGGCGGUGGUGGUGGAGGAGCUGCUCGUGGAAGAUAUGGGCCUCCAUCCAGGCGUUCAGAAUACAGAGUAGUAGUAUCAGGACUUCCUCCAAGUGGAAGCUGGCAGGACUUGAAGGAUCACAUGCGUGAAGCAGGUGAUGUAUGUUACGCUGAUGUUUACCGAGAUGGUACUGGUGUCGUGGAGUUUGUGCGAAAAGAAGAUAUGACCUAUGCAGUGCGGAAACUGGAUAACACUAAAUUUAGGUCACAUGAGGGAGAAACUGCCUACAUUCGUGUAAAAGUCGAUGGUCCAAGAAGCCCAAGCUAUGGAAGAUCGCGUUCUCGCAGUCGUAGUCGUAGCAGAAGCCGUAGUAGAAGCAACAGUCGCAGCCGCAGCUACUCUCCAAGAAGAAGCCGAGGAUCCCCUCGCUACUCUCCCCGUCACAGCAGAUCUCGUUCCCGCACAUAAAUAGAUAAAAGUGAAGUGAUGCUUCUUUUGUAGCCCCUCAUGUUGUAUACAGUUACUUUAUUCAGUACUUUUUUAAUUCACUGUUUUAUUAAAGUUUUGAAGCGCUAAGCCUUCUGCUUAGAAUAGUAAGGCUAAUGCUUACACCAGUAUCUUCCUUUUCCAUUCCUUCAUGCCCAAAAAGCGUAUUUAGCAGUUGUAGGUAUAAUUUCACAAGUCGACCAGCCUCUCUUCAGAAGCACCAGUGUUGUGGUGUGUUGUCUGCAAUGUGUGGUGGCGGUGGGGAUUUGGGGUGGUUGUGGUAUAAAUAUUAACUUUUUUUUUCUCCUUUCAUUUGUGGGGAAAUCUUGUUUUUACCUUGCUUUCCAUGUGUCUUUCUGUAGACAUAACUGAAGAGAUGGAUUAUGGAGGACAUUUCAAUCAUUUUAGGAUUUUCAGAUGGAGGCAUGAGGAGGAUCAGAUCAAAAAUGGAGGCCAUGGUUUGGAUUGGAGAGGGCUCACUGGAUCCCAAUCCUGGAGCUGUGGAUCAUUGGAUUCAAAUCAUAGGAAGGAGUGAAUAGGAUAGGGAUGAAUUGCCAAGAUUCAUGGAGCGGGAUCAGAUAACAAGAACAUAGGAGUGGAUUCCUGCCCCAUCUAAACCCCAUUCGUGUGGAAUCUUUUUCCUAAUCAUCCAAUUGGCUAUUCUAUAGAAUUUUUUUUUUUUUUUUUUUUUUUUUCUUUUUUAUACAAGUGGAGCGCUUAGGAUGCCAGAAGGAGUUGCACGUUUUUUCUUUUUGUUAAAAAGCAAAGAGGAGACCAGAGGCACGCUGGAGCCAUCCCCUGGGACGGAUACAGCACCAAUAGAUGGUAAUUAAAAGGGAUAAUGGGAGGGCUGAAUUGAAAUUAGUAAAUUUAUAUCUAAUUUGAAGGGGUUGGAUUUUAAAUUUUUUAUCUAGGAUUUCAAUUGGCCUUUGAGGAUUUUGCUGCUGAAUAAUAAAUGAAUAAAAAGUUAA